GGAGAGCCAACAAAGAGUGCCAUUAGGUUUGGGUGGAGGAUUUGACUUUGACAUUUUGGAGUGGGGGAAACAUAGAAAGGCUGCACUAUAUCCCACUGUGUAAUGCUGCCCCAGAUCUAAAGAAUGCAACAAAGGGUAAACAUGGCUGCCGGCAUUACUGUUUGGGGGGAAAAGUCUCCCAAGCAGGGUGUCACAGAAUAUUUACAUCAACCCAUCAAGUGACCUGCAAUCUGUAAAAAGCGAGGUGACAGCACUGUUUCUCUGGUUUGGAGACUGACUUGAUUUUCGCUGCAUAUUGUAUCAGGCAUAGUGUGUUGUGAACUUGAUAAUCUAGUUUUGCGUGGUACGCCAUGCCAGAAGCAAUUGGAAAAAGGGUGAAAUGGAUUGUGUUAGCAGACAUAGAUAAGAUAAAUAAUUCUGUG